rnacentral:misc_RNA from 1 species
GAGCCUGUUAAAAUGGAGGUCGAUGUGAAGGACGAUGGAGAGGAGGAAGAUGUGAAAAUAAGUCACGAACUUCGUGUAGGAUCAGAGUUGGAAGAGUAUAAUAUUGAAUUAAGUCUUGGUGGACUGGAUAAUUCAGGGAAAGAUGAUGGUGGAAAAGAGGGAAAGGAACAAGUGGGUGAUGAGGAUACUAUGGAUUUUGA